AUGCAUGAUGGGAUACACAAAGCUUUGUAUAGCGCUCCGGAGCAGUAUUGGAGAGGUUUAGUGUGUGUUAAGGACGCUGUGCUUUGGCAUUAUUAAGACCGGGGACAGUCUCGUUCACACACUGUCACAUACACACACUCUCAAGUGGCCAAGACUGCAAGUGUGGGUAUCUGGACAGGGUCAAAGUCUUAAAAAUGAUCCCUAAACACAGUCGCACAUCACAGUCUUAAUAAUCCAGUUUAACACUUGUAUGAUAUUGUACAAGUCCCAGGACGGUCUCAUCUGACACUAUCAAAAGAAUUCAUAUGACUAUAGCUUGCUAUUAAUUACUUGCUUUCAAUAAUGGAUGCAUUUAACAUUUAAUUAUACUGCAUCUUUACAGAGGUGUAAUGUACAAGUUGCACAUAAUUAAUAAUAUUUCCUUCCUUCUGUCUUACAGGAUUGUUUGCAGAUAAUGUUGUUCUUUUUCAGGUCUACAAUAUCGAGCUCAACAGCUAUUUUAAGAGCCAACCCUCACAAACCUUCCUAAAAACUAAAAGAGCUAUUACUGAGUCUCAGCGAAUCUUGCCAUGAUCAGCUCUUCCCAGAAGAGAAGGAAGACCAAGGAAAUGAUUUGCUCAGGAUGAGGAAUGAAGAUGGCCAUCUUGUGCUCAAACAAACAGAAGUCCUCUGAUGAUCUCAUCAGCCAAAUGAGGGGUUUUGACCAAGUGAUGCUCUUGAAAGGAGUGAAAGAAGAGGAUGUGGUAAAUUGUCUUCAGAGAAAAACCUUCUCUAAAGGUCUUAAAACAGCUUGAAGAAUGGUCUGGGAUCUUAGGACUGAGAGAUCCUCUGGCUGAGAACAAGCUACACCACAUCAGUGCUGGAUAUCAACCACAAACUGUUUCCAGACACGACAGAAGAAGAUCACGAUGGGGAGAUGAAACCAGUUUAGAUGUGAUGAUGGGAAUCAUUAUUUUCUGGAACAGUAUCACAUGUCUUAUAUGUAUCACAUGAUCUGUAUCACAGUUGACUGUAUGGGACUGU